rnacentral:rRNA from 1 species
AGCGGGGGAAGGUAGCUUGCUACUGGACCUAGCGGCGGACGGGUGAGUAAUGCUUAGGAAUCUGCCUAUUAGUGGGGGACAACAUCUCGAAAGGGAUGCUAAUACCGCAUACGUCCUACGGGAGAAAGCAGGGGAUCUUCGGACCUUGCGCUAAUAGAUGAGCCUAAGUCGGAUUAGCUAGUUGGUGGGGUAAAGGCCUACCAAGGCGACGAUCUGUAGCGGGUCUGAG